UGAGGAAUUUUUUGCACAAUGGGGGCAACCCUGAUGCAGCGACGCCGCGUGAGUGAUGAAGGCCCUUGGGUCGUAAAGCUCUGUCAAUAGGGAAGAAGUGUUAUGUGGUUAAUACCCAUGUAAUCUGACGGUACCUAUAAAGGAAGCACCGGCUAAAUCCGUGCCAGCAGCCGCGGUAAUACGGAUGGUGCGAGCGUUGUUCGGAAUUACUGGGCGUAAAGGGCGCGUAGGCGGCCUGUUAAGUCAGAUGUGAAAGCCCACGGCUCAACCGUGGAAGUGCAUCUGAAACUGGCAAGCUUGAGUACUGGAGAGGAAAGUGGAAUUCCUGGUGUAGAGGUGAAAUUCGUAGAUAUCAGGAGGAAUACCGGUGGCGAAGGCGACUUUCUGGACAGAUACUGACGCUGAGGCGCGAAAGCGUGGGGAGCAAACAGGAUUAGAUACCCUGGUAGUCCACAGCUGUAAACGAUGUGCACUAGGUGUAGGGGGUCGUUGACCCUUUCUGUGCCGUAGCUAACGCAUUAAGUGCACCGCCUGGGGAGUACGGUCGCAAGAUUA
rnacentral:rRNA from 1 species